UACGUAGGUGGCUAGCGUUGUCCGGAUUUACUGGGCGUAAAGAGCGCGCAGGCGGUCGUUCAAGUCGAGUGUGAAAGCCCCCGGCUCAACUGGGGAGGGUCACUCGAUACUGAUCGACUCGAAGGCAGGAGAGGGAAGUGGAAUUCCCGGUGUAGUGGUGAAAUGCUUAGAUAUGACAUAGAACACCAAUUGCGAAGGCAGCUAUCUACAGGGAUAUUGACACUGAGGCACGAAAGCGUGGGGAUCAAACAGG
rnacentral:rRNA from 1 species